GCUGGUUUCUACACAUGUGUUUCCUCUAGUUUGGAGCAAAACGAACACAAACAGAUAGGGCUUCUGCGCUCCGGCGGCGGGACCUCGUCGUGUGCGGUGCUGCGACCUCGGGCAAUCAAUCUCGCCACGGUGCUCCGACCUUCAGCAGGCAGCCCGCGCCACCUCCCUCCGCGAUUCUCCACCUCGACACCAUCCUCUCCCACACACGGCGCCAGAUCCGGCAUCCACCAACGCCGGAGAAGAAACUCCUGCCUUCAGCAACCGGAAGGGCCAUAGCCUCUGCUUGUAAUGGGGAAGUGGCAUGUUUACCAGCUGCUGACACAAAGAUGUUUGUACUUCAUUUUCUUCAACUUCUCUGUAUUCCUCUAGGGAAUGGAUUCAAUGGCAAGUAUUCCUCCAGGGAAUGGAGUCGAUGGCAAGUAUUCCUCCAAGUCUCAGACCAACAACAGUGAUGAGACUUGAACUUAUUUGAUGUUUUGCGGCACAACACAGCCCAUGGGAGCCAACAUCAUUUACUUUGCGUUAAAUGCCGGAUUAGAAAGGCCUUCGUUCAUGUGCUAUAUGAACCUAGUUCCAUUGGUUUAGACUUCUGCUACAACUUGUACACCAAGUUAAUCUAUUAUACCUUGAGUUGUAAAUAAUAUUUGGAUUGCAACUCUAGUUAUGUGCUUCAUGGUAGAUUUAUGUGUAUUGUCAUGCAUACUAUUCACUAAGCAUUCAUGAUAUCACUGUCGUACUAUGAACUAUGAAAUGUUAA